CCUACGGGAGGCAGCAGUGGGGAAUAUUGCACAAUGGGGGAAACCCUGAUGCAGCGACGCCGCGUGAGUGAAGAAGGAUUUCGGUACGUAAAGCUCUAUCAGCAGGGAAGAAAAUGACGGUACCUGACUAAGAAGCCCCGGCUAACUACGUGCCAGCAGCCGCGGUAAUACGUAGGGGGCAAGAGUUAUCCGGAUUUACUGGGUGGAAAGGGAGCGUAGAAGGCAGCGACAGUCUGGAGUGAAAUCCCAUGGCUUAACCAUGGAACUGCUUUGGAAACUGUGCAGCUAGAGUGCAGGAGAGGUCAGCGGAAUACCUAGUGUAGCGGUGAAAUGCGUAGAUAUUAGGAGGAACACCAGUGGCGAAGGCGGCUUACUGGACUGUAACUGACGUUGAGGCUCGAAAGCGUGGGGAGCAAACAGGAUUAGAUACCCUUGUAGUC
rnacentral:rRNA from 1 species